rnacentral:tRNA from 1 species
GCCUUCGUGGUGUAAUGGUAGCACACUUGGCGCAUAUUCAAGAGGUCCAGGUUUGAGUCCCGGCGAGGGUA